GACGUAGGGCGCGAGCGUUGUCCGGAUUUAUUGGGCGUAAAGAGCUCGUAGGCGGCUUGUCGCGUCGACUGUGAAAACCCGAGGCUCAACUUCGGGCUUGCAGUCGAUACGGGCAGGCUAGAGUUCGGUAGGGGAGACUGGAAUUCCUGGUGUAGCGGUGAAAUGCGCAGAUAUCAGGAGGAACACCGAUGGCGAAGGCAGGUCUCUGGGCCGAUACUGACGCUGAGACGCGAAAGCGUGGGGAGCGAACAGG
rnacentral:rRNA from 1 species